CUUUUUCUUUGGUGAAUCCCAUCCUUUGUUCUUUUCCUUGGCUGAGGAGGGUCCACAGUACCCUCAGGAAACCUUAGUCAAGGCCUGAGACUCGCAACAACUAGAAUUAUUAUGGGAAUGGAGGCAGUGCCUGCUCUUAUAUGGCCACUUUCCUGUGGAACCUAACCCUCCUGGCCCAGCAUAGUUUCUUCAUUUCUACAAAGUCAGCCUCGCCUGCACGGAUCUGGGACUGGGGCUCUGUCACCCGCCAGUCUCCAAGCAGCUGUGGAAGCUCCAAAAUGAAAUGUCUCCUAAUGAACUCCUUGUCGCGAGAAGUCAGCCAGUACAGAGCACAUCUCUGCCAACCACAGACUCAAAGUGGGUCCCUGAAGAACAUUACCAGAAACUGACCAGGAAGGUCCCUGGAGAUGCCUCAUCUGUGCUCGGGAAGGAGCAUUUGACUAUGAGCCUACUUCAAUAAGUGGGCUUCUCCUGCAACCGUGUUCUGAGAUCCCGUCACAGUCCCUCACAUCUGAACCUGUGCUGCCUCAGCCUCUUAGACAGGUGGCCAUGACACCCAGCUCGCAGCUGCAGAAUAAACUCCAGGACUUGGCCAGA